GACGAACGCUGGCGGCGUGCUUAACACAUGCAAGUCGAACGGUGAACCUCUUCGGAGGGGAUCAGUGGCGAACGGGUGAGUAACACGUGGGCAACCUGCCCCCGGCUCUGGGAUAACUCCAAGAAAUUGGGGCUAAUACCGGAUGUUCACCGCUUCCCGCAUGGGUGGUGGUGGAAAGGGUUUCCGGCUGGGGAUGGAGCCGCGGGCGUUCAGCUUGUUGGUGGGGUAGUGGCCUACCAAGGCGACGACGGGUAGCCGGCCUGGGCGGGGGACCGGCCACGCCAGGACUGGGAUACGGCCCAGACCCCUACCGGACGGAGGAGUGGGGAAUAGUGCCCAAUGGGCGGGAGGCUGACCCAACGACGCCGCGUGGGGGGAAACGGGCUUGUGGUUGGAAACCUAUUUCAUCAGGGCCGGAGCGCAAGUGACGGUACCUGGAGAAGAAGCACCGGCCAACUACGUG
rnacentral:rRNA from 1 species